GAUGAAGAACGCAGCGAAAUGCGAUAAGUAGUGUGAAUUGCAGAAUUCAGUGAAUCAUCGAAUCCUUGAACGCACAUUGCGCCCCAUGGUAUUCCGUGGGGCAUGCCUGUUCGAGCGUCAUUUACCCCCUCAAGCUCCGCUUGGUGUUGGGCGUCUGUCCCGCUUCGCGCGCGGACUCGCCCCAAAGGUAUUGGCAGCGGUCGUGCCAGCUUCUCGCGCAGCACAUUGCGCUUCUCGAGGCACCGGUGGGCCCGCGUCCAUCAAGCUCACCCCCCCAGUUUGACCUCGGAUCAGGUAGGGAUACCCGCUGAACUUAAGCAUAUCAAUAAGCGGAGGA
rnacentral:misc_RNA from 1 species